AUUUGGCCCAAAAUUUGGUCAAU
rnacentral:snRNA from 1 species